rnacentral:rRNA from 1 species
CACGUAGGGCGCGAGCGUUGUCCGGAAUUAUUGGGCGUAAAGAGCUCGUAGGCGGCCUGUUGCGUCCGCUGUGAAAGCCCGGGGCUUAACCCCGGGUCGGCAGUGGAUACGGGCAGGCUAGAGGUAGGUAGGGGAGAAUGGAAUUCCCGGUGUAGCGGUGAAAUGCGCAGAUAUCUGGAGGAACACCGGUGGCGAAGGCGGCAUCCUGGACCGGUAUUGACGCUGAGGCGCGAAAGCCAGGGGAGCAAACGGG